UUGGUCUGAAUUAUCCAUGACAUCCAUACUUCAUCACAUCAAGUCCAAAUCAUUAAAGGAAUGCCUGUGCUUGCUCUGGCCAGAGGAUGUUUGGAUUCUGAUGUCAGCCCAGUUCUGCAGCCUGAUGGGAAUCCGGUAUUGUCUCCAGUGUACAUAGAAUUCUACUUUGCAGCCAAACCAGUCUAACAUGCUUUUUGUUAACUGAAACUGGAGCAGCAAAACAAAGAAAACAAGUGCCUCAUUUUCCAGCUUUGAGGGUGAGAGAACUAUAAGUGAAGAUUAUAAUGCCAGACACUGACAGCCUUAAACCAGCUGCCUCAGGGAUCUGCCACGAACUUUGCUGAAAAUAUGUUCCUCAUCUUAGCAGCGGAGCUAAGACUUAUCACACAUCUACCCACCUUUAUUCGAAUGAAAGUUCCGUCUGAUCUGACAGCUCAGGCAUUGUCAGUUUCAUCCACAACAAUUUACAAACUUGGAAACUAAUCCUGUAAACCCUUAAUCAUUUGAUCAAUCCCAUUGAAGACCAUGGGACUAUCUGCAUGACUAUGGACCACUUUUGUGGACUGCUCUUCUUCCCUGCGUCAUCAUGAGUGGAUGUGUGAGAUGGAUCGGAGCUCUUGCGUGCAGGAGUGUACCCUCCCGACAACCCUUAGUGUGGUCCUAGGCCUACCCUACAAGGUGCAAAUGUUUCUAUGCUCCCCCUAUCAUCUCCGUCCCAG